AGCUUGGCACAGUGGCAGUCUCGUAGCCAAUGAGGUUUAGCCGAGGUGCGAUUAUUGCUAAUUGAAAAUAACCUUUAAGG
rnacentral:snRNA from 1 species